ensembl:lncRNA
GGAUUCUAUUGGAUGCUCAUUCCGAUGCCUCACUCCGAGUGGCAUUCUGCAGCCUAAGGAGAAAGCUGAGAUUCAUUUGGAGUACGUGUCUGAGCAGAUGGAUGUAGUGGAAUCGUCAUGGAGCUUUGUGAUUGACACUCUGUCAGUGUCUAUUCCAUUUCUGUUUGUGGGAACCACAAGAGCACCACUUGUCUAUCUUGAUAAAGCUCUGAUUAACUUUGGGGAUUUGCUUGUUGGAAAUAAGGCAGAGCAAAUAGUACAUUUAGUAAACGGAGAGGAGGAGGCUUUUCACUUCUCAGUGUUGCAGGCAUCUCUUCUGUGUGAAGAUCAGCUCUCCAGCCUCGUCAUCCAGCCCAUGAGUGGCUCACUAGGAC